AUUCAGAUUUAAUGGAAACUAUUGGAAUUUAAAAUGCAUAACAUUUUAUCUGGUUGAAGCCAAUCCUGUGGGAGUGGUGCAGCCCACGCUGAGCGUCCUCCCUCCCUCCAGAGUGGAGCUGGAGCAGGGCAGUGCUACACUAGUGUGUGUGGCCAGUGGGGGCUUCCCCUCAGACUGGAAGCUUGGCUGGAAGGUGGGGUGCAGCAGCAGGUCUGUGGGGGUGUCCGAUAGCCUGGUGGUCCUGGGGAAAGAUGGCCACUACAGCUGGAGCAGCACCUUGACCCUCCCUGCAGACCAGUGGAGGAAGGCGGGCUCAGUGAGCUGUGAGGCCAGUAAGAAUGGCCAGACGCAGCCUGUCACUCAAACCCUGAAUCCUGGAGAGUGUUCAGAGUAGAGAGGCUCCAGCAUGGAGGUACUGGAGAAUACAGAUCUCCUCUGACACGUCUGCUUUAUGUCUCUCUGCCUCAGGUGACACUGCAGCUUUUGUUGAUUUGCAUUAACAUAACAAGUGUUUGAUUCAUUAACAUGAUGCUCUCUGGAUUUCUGGAUUUCUCUCUGCCUUCUGAUUUUUACCCCUUGUUUGGAUUUGUCACAUGCUGAAUACUGAAUAAAGAUUUAAAAAAUAAA